GAUGAACGCUGGCGGCGUGCCUAAUACAUGCAAGUCGAGCGAACAGACGAGGAGCUUGCUCCUCUGACGUUAGCGGCGGACGGGUGAGUAACACGUGGAUAACCUACCUAUAAGACUGGGAUAACUUCGGGAAACCGGAGCUAAUACCGGAUAAUCUAUUGAACCGCAUGGUUCAAUAGUGAAAGACGGUUUUGCUGUAACUUAUAGAUGGAUCCGCGCCGCAUUAGCUAGUUGGUAAGGUAACGGCUUACCAAGGCAACGAUGCGUAGCCGACCUGAGAGGGUGAUCGGCCACACUGGAACUGAGACACGGACCAGAGUCCUACGGGAGGCAGCAGUAGGGAAUCUUCGGCAGUGGGGGAAAGCCUGACGGAGCAACGCCGCGUGAGUGAUGAAGGUGUUCGGAGCGUAAAACUCUGUUAUUAGGGAAGAACAGAUGUGUAAGUAACUGUGCACGGCUUGACGGUACCUGGUCAGAAAGCCCCGGCUAACUACGUG
rnacentral:rRNA from 1 species